UUGAAUUCUCCGUAAUAAAUCCAGCGCCUCUCUCUCUCUCUCUCUAAAUCUCAACAUUUUUCAAUCUAAAAAAGAAAUCUCUCUCUCUCUCUCUCUCUCUCUCUCUCUCUAGUAAGUAGAAGCAAUAAUACACUUUUAGCCGUUCAAAUUCUAUGUAAGAAGGUUUGAUUCUUCUUGUAAUCAUAUGGAAUUUCAAUUUCGAUCAAAGAGAGAAUCUUCAUGCAUUCAAGUUCUCUGUAGUACCCACCUCUUCCUCUCUCGCUAUAAAUAUGUAAUUUAUUCUUCUUCUUUCUGGAUUUUGCUUUUAUUUUGGUUAGUCUUUGAUGGGUCUUUCACUUUUUGUGAUUUUUUUAAGUAUACUAUAGAAAGUAUACUAUAGACAUUUUCAUGUAAGCUUUGUCUCGUUCCUCUGUUUGAUGUGUUCUUUAUUUUUCUGUUCAUUGUAACGUAUGAUUUCUUGAAUUUAUUAAGGGAUUGGAGGAUUUUUAGAGUUAAAGUUUGGAUCUUUUAGAUUUCACGCUCUAUCCAUGGCAUACAAAUGAAUUCCCCAUUAGCGUUUCCCUUGUGCUCUUGAUGCACGUUAAAAGACGUAAGCAGAUCAAUAAAUACGGUCAAUUGAACCAAAAGAGAGAGAUCAAAUUUCAAACUUGAUGGAAGUGGUAAGAUCACUUUGUUUCUUGAUAGGUUUUCUUUGCUGUAAUGCUUGUGUUUGACUUUUGAAGCGUAAAUGCAAAAUUGAGCUGCUGUUUUUGUUAAUUGCAAAAUCAUGAUUCCUCAGAACAUUUUACAAUUAAUUGCAAAAUCUUCAAAGUCUUAUUCAUGCAUGUUGGUUUUCCUGUCUUAGAGGAUACAAUUUUCAAAAAAUAACCAAUUGUUCUCCUAAUUUAGCAAGAAGAAUCGGAUUUUUAAUAAAGAAGAUGAUUUUUCUCUUUUGGAUUCACUGAAUGCUGUUGUAACUAGCCCGUACUAGCAAAACUAUCACUCAUAGCCGUUGUUGUUGAACCAACAUGGUUGUAUUGUUGUUGGUGUGGCUGCAGAGAAAUAUGUUUGUUGGCAUUUGUCUCUUCCUUUGAAUUGUGAAUUUCUGCUCUGGGAAUAAAGGGAAUGGGAGCUGAUGGAGCAACACUUCAAUGUGUUAUUUUGUCUGUCCAAACAUAAAAAAGUACUAAGAUAAAUUGUAUUUUUUUAGUAAAAUGAUUUCAUAAAUCACUUCUGUAACACCAUUCCAUGCUUUAAAGUUGAUUGUUGCUUCGGCGUAUGCCAGGGUUUUGGGGGUCUGUUUCUUUUCCUUCUGCUUUUUGAUUUCACUUUAAAGUCUUAUUUCUGAUUUUAUUUGAAGAAAACCCAGCUAAGCUAAAAAUAUCAUGCUGCUUCUUUGAAUUGUGGGAUUCUUAUUUGAUUGGAAUAGGCAGGUGGGUUGGGAGUGAUUUCUGCCUUGUCUUAUUUUCUUAAAGAGUUGUCCUUGAAUUGUGGGAUUCACUGCUUAAUUUGUCACAAGGGCUGAAAGUAUUGCUCAUCUAAUUAAUCACUCGUGUAAGGUGUGUAUCAUCUGUUCAUCCUGUUUAAUAGUCUUUCUAUUGCAUGUGAAAAUAUGUAUUGAAAAGGUUUAUGGCAUGUAUGAUUUAUAUAAAAGCCUUAUGAUUAAGUUUUGACGGAUAAAAUUCAACGUUAUUGCAUUUUUCUCUUUACAUUUUUUCAAACUUGCUUGAAGAUGAAAGGUCAUAUGGAUAAUAUGCGUCUGAUAUUGUUUUUUAUAGAUACAUUGUUGGUGUGGCUGUAAGGAGUUAUGUUUGUUGGCAUUUGUCUCUUCCUUUGAUUUUUGAAUUCUUGUUCUGGAAUCAAGGGGAUGAGAGCUGAUGGAGCAACUCUUCAAUAUGUUAUUUUGUGUAUGCAAACAUAAAAAUUGGUACUAACAUAAAUAGCAUUUUUUACUAGAUUGAUUUCAUAAAUCACUUUUUUGUUCUGUUACACCAUUUCAUACUUAAGCACUUCAGUUAAUAAGAUUUGCUUGCUGAGAGUUCUGUCUUUUCUUAUAUUGAAUACUAGGACUGUAGAAACAAAAAAGGGCUUAAGUAUUUUCUAACUGUUGCAUUAGAUUUUGAAGUUCACGGACUCUAUGUUCUCUCUGUUUUUCUUGUCCCGUCUUUUCUUUGAUGUACUGGUCCUCCCUCUCUCUGUUUCUAGAUUUUGAAGCUCCUCCCUCUCUUGAUUCUUUAUUAGAAUGCUAGCAUUCUAACUGUUAUGUACUCUGGUUUGUUGGAGGUUGCAGACUUUGAGAAACUAGAUCCUUGUACAAUGAUGAAUCCUCCCACUGUACACAUGGUAUUCUUGUUUGUUAUUUAUAUAUCUUGCAUUCUUGCUUGGCUGAA